rnacentral:rRNA from 1 species
CCUACGGGUGGCAGCAGUGAGGAAUAUUGGUCAAUGGGCGCAAGCCUGAACCAGCCAAGUCGCGUGAGGGAUGAAGGUCCUAUGGAUUGUAAACCUCUUUUGUCGGGGAGCAAGGCCCGCCACGUGUGGCGGGAAGGAGAGUACCCGAAGAAAAAGCAUCGGCUAACUCGGUGCCAGCAGCCGCGGUAAUACGGGGGAUGCGAGCGUUAUCCGGAUUUAUUGGGUGUACAGGGUGCGUAGGCGGAAGGUUAAGUCAGCGGUAAAAUGGCGGUGCUCAACACCGGCCUGCCGUUGAAACUGGUCUUCUUGAGUGAGCGAGAGGUAUGCGGAAUGCGUGGUGUAGCGGUGAAAUGCAUAGAUAUCACGCAGAACUCCGAUGGCGAAGGCAGCAUACCGGCGCUCAACUGACGCUGAGGCACGAAAGCGUGGGGAUCGAACAGGAUUAGAUACCCGAGUAGUC